rnacentral:snRNA from 1 species
GUGCUUGCUUCAGCAGCACAUAUACUAAAAUGGGAAUGAUGUAGAGAAGAUUAAUAUGGCCCCUGCACAGAGAUGACAUGCAAAUUUGUGAAGCAUUCCAUAUUUAA